rnacentral:rRNA from 1 species
GAGUUUGAUCGUGGCUCAGGACGAACGCUGGCGGCGUGCCUAAUACAUGCAAGUCGAACGAACGGAUAAAGAGCUUGCUCUUUUGAAGUUAGUGGCGGACGGGUGAGUAACAUGUGGGUAACCUGCCUCACAGCUGGGGAUAACAUCGAGAAAUCGAUGCUAAUACCGAAUGUGCUGAACAUCAUAAGAUGUUCAAGUGAAAGACGGUUUCGGCUGUCACUGUGAGAUGGACCCGCGCUGGAUUAGCUAGUUGGGAAGGUAAUGGCUUACCAAGGCGACGAUCCAUAGCCGACCUGAGAGGGUGAUCGGCCACAUUGGGACUGAGACACGGCCCAAAACUCCUACGGGAGCAGCAGUAGGGAAUCUUCGGCAAAUGGACGAAAGUCUGACCGAGCAACGCCGCGUGAGCGAAGAAGGCCUU